AUCCCCCUGCCUCAUUUGGCCUCCCAAAGUGCUGGGAUUACAGGCUCAUGCCACCAUGUCCAACUUAGUUCCACAGUUUCAAAGAGCCGAGAGGCACGUCUUCAGAGAACUAGAGCCUGUGGGAAACGCUCAGGGAGACCAGGUACUGCAUCUCCUCAUUGUUUUUUGUAUGAUCCAGCUUCUGUUUCUGGGGAAGAAAAUCCCUCAAGUGACAGGACAUCCGGGGAUGGGAGAAAUGGUUCAUGCUACCCAGGAUGCACAUGCUUCUGUCCUUUGCUCACGUGUAAUGGAAACACACUGACCAUCCCCAGAUUGUGGAGCCCGAGGACUCUUUUGAAAUGAAUCGCAAAUUAAUCACUGCAGACAUGGCCAAAACUGGGCUAGCUUUAGGGACCCUGUUCAAGGCAGAACGAGACUCCGGCAUCAAUCUGCCAGGCAGCCAGCUCUGGAUCGUGCUGGAACUGACAGGAAGGUUCCGGGCGGUGACAUCGGCUCAGCAGUGAGGUGUGGAGCCUGAGCUGUGUCCCUUGCCCUGGGUGCAAGGGGCAUUCCACUGCCCAGGCUUCCCAGAGGCACCCCACACACCAGAUGGCACUCCAUACUUGAUUUUGUUCCCUGACAUGGAUUUGCUGAAAAGCCCUCAUUCCUUCAGCAGAGGAGGGCAGUGUGGGGAAAAGGGGGGUUGGCCACUCAGAGGGGUGCUGGGCCGUUGCUGGCCAGGCCUCAGCCUUCCUUCUAGCCCCACCAUCUUCCUUGCAGUUUGCUUAAAAACUGAGAGGCAAACAUAAAAUAAAAUCCAGAAAUAAAAAUAAAAACAGGCCAGGCA